rnacentral:rRNA from 1 species
UACAGAGGUCUCAAGCGUUGUUCGGAUUCAUUGGGCGUAAAGGGUGCGUAGGCGGCGCGGUAAGUCGGGUGUGAAAUCUCGGGGCUUAACUCCGAAACUGCAUUCGAUACUGCCGUGCUUGAGGACUGGAGAGGAGACUGGAAUUUACGGUGUAGCGGUGAAAUGCGUAGAUAUCGGGAGGAACACCUGUGGCGAAGGCGGCCCCCUGGUCGGAUACUGACGCUGAGACGCGAAAGCGUGGGGAGCAAACAGG